UCAGUUGAGAUUCUUGCAGGCUGAUGAAGUUGCAUUACUGGAGAUUCCAGACUUAUACGAAGUGGGGAAUUUAGUUGACCAUCACAGAGACAUGCGAUUGGAUAUAGAGGAUAUGUCUUACGAGGAACUUCUCGCUUUAGGGGAGCGAAUCGGUAAUGUCAGCACUGGUUUAACAGAGGAAAUCAUUAAAACUCAACUAAAAACAAGGAGCUAUGUAGCAUCUGCAACGGUCGUUAAUCUGGAGGAGGAAGAGGAGAGUUCGAGUUUGGAUCAGGAUGCCGAUUACUGUAUUAUUUGCCAGGACCAUUAUCAGAACCGCGAGAAAGUUGGAACACUUGAUUGCGGACACGAGUACCAUGCAAGUUGCUUAAAGAAGUGGCUGCUUGUGAAGAAUGUCUGUCCCAUCUGCAAAUCAGAAGCACUGGUGACAGAUAGAAAGGAACGAUGACGAUCAGAGCACUGUUUAAAUCAAGAGGCUCUGUAUCCUCUUCCUUACAACGCAUCUAUCUAUCAAUGCG
rnacentral:misc_RNA from 1 species